rnacentral:rRNA from 1 species
GUCCACGCCCUAAACGAUGUCGACUGGUUGUUGGGGUUUGACACUCUCAGUAACGAAGCUAACGCGUGAAGUCGACCGCCUGGGGAGUACGGCCGCAAGGUUAAAACUCAAAGGAAUUGACGGGGACCCGCACAAGCGGUGGAUUAUGUGGAUUAAUUCGAUGCAACGCGAAAACCUUACCUACCCUUGACAUGUCCGAGAGGCUCCAGAGAUGGGGCUGUGCCCCGAAAGGGAAUCGGAACACAGGUGCUGCAUGGCUGUCGU